CAAAGGCUCCCAGAAGUUCUCCCGCUUGCUGGCUCUCAGUCUUGGUCCUGUGCCAGGCAGGCAGCCUCCAGGCAGCGCCAUUCAGGUGAGACAGCUUAGCAGCCCAGACCCGGCCACACUCAGUGAGGAGGAAGUGCGCCUCCUGCUGGCUGCACUGGUGCAGGACUAUGUGCAGAUGAAGGCCAGUGAGCUGGAGCAGGAGCAGGAGACAG
rnacentral:lncRNA from 1 species